rnacentral:rRNA from 1 species
GAUGAACGCUGGCGGCGUGCCUAAUACAUGCAAGUCGAACGCAUAGCGAAAGGUGCUUGCACCUUUCAAGUGAGUGGCGAACGGGUGAGUAACACGUGGACAACCUGCCUCAAGGCUGGGGAUAACAUUUGGAAACAGAUGCUAAUACCGAAUAAAACUUAGUGUCGCAUGACACAAAGUUAAAAGGCGCUUCGGCGUCACCUAGAGAUGGAUCCGCGGUGCAUUAGUUAGUUGGUGGGGUAAAGGCCUACCAAGACAAUGAUGCAUAGCCGAGUUGAGAGACUGAUCGGCCACAUUGGGACUGAGACACGGCCCAAACUCCUACGGGAGGCUGCAGUAGGGAAUCUUCCACAAUGGGCGAAAGCCUGAUGGAGCAACGCCGCGUGUGUGAUGAAGGCGUUCGGGUCGUAAAGCACUGUUGUAUGGGAAGAACAGCUAGAAUAGGAAAUGAGUUGAGUUUGACGGUACCAGACCAGAAAGGGACGGCUAAAUACGUG